rnacentral:rRNA from 1 species
GUGCCAGCAGCCGCGGUAAUACGUAGGUGGCAAGCGUUAUCCGGAAUUAUUGGGCGUAAAGCGCGCGUAGGCGGUUUUUAAGUCUGAUGUGAAAGCCCACGGCUCAACCGUGGAGGGUCAUUGGAAACUGGAAAACUUGAGUGCAGAAGAGGAAAGUGGAAUUCCAUGUGUAGCGGUGAAAUGCGCAGAGAUAUGGAGGAACACCAGUGGCGAAGGCGACUUUCUGGUCUGUAACUGACGCUGAUGUGCGAAAGCGUGGGGAUCAAACGGGAUUAG